rnacentral:rRNA from 1 species
UACGUAGGGGCCGAGCGUUGUCCGGAAUUAUUGGGCGUAAAGGGCUCGUAGGCGGUCUGUCGCGUCGGGAGUGAAAACCAGGUGCUUAACACCUGGCUUGCUUUCGAUACGGGCAGACUAGAGGUAUUCAGGGGAGAACGGAAUUCCUGGUGUAGCGGUGAAAUGCGCAGAUAUCAGGAGGAACACCGGUGGCGAAGGCGGUUCUCUGGGAAUAUCCUGACGCUGAGGAGCGAAAGUGUGGGGAGCGAACAGG